UACUACCGAAGCUACGGCAUCAGUAAUGAUGGGUAGGGGAGCUUCCCAUACGGGUUGAAGCAUGACCGUAAGGACAUGUGGACAGUAUGGGAGUGAGAAUGUUGGCAUGAGUAGCGAGAUGUGGGUGGGAAUCCCACAGGCCGUAAACCCAAGGUUUCCAGGGGAAGGUUCGUCCACCCUGGGUUAGUCGGGACCUAAGCUGAGGCCGAAAGGCGUAGGUGAUGGACAACAGGUUGAUAUUCCUGUACUACCGAUAACCGGUUGAGAGAAGGGAUGACACAGUAGGAUAAGCUAAGCAC
rnacentral:rRNA from 1 species